GAUGAACGCCGGCGGUGUGCCUAAUACAUGCAAGUCGAACGCGUUGGCCCAAUUAAUUGAUGGUGCUUGCACCUGAUUGAUUUUGGUCGCCAACGAGUGGCGGACGGGUGAGUAACACGUAGGUAACCUGCCCAGAAGCGGGGGACAACAUUUGGAAACAGAUGCUAAUACCGCUUAACAACGUUGUUCGCAUGAACAACGCUUAAAAGAUGGCUUCUCGCUAUCACUUCUGGAUGGACCUGCGGUGCAUUAGCUUGUUGGUGGGGUAACGGCCUACCAAGGCGAUGAUGCAUAGCCGAGUUGAGAGACUGAUCGGCCACAAUGGGACUGAGACACGGCCCAUACUCCUACGGGAGGCAGCAGUAGGGAAUCUACCACAAUGGGCGCAAGCCUGAUGGAGCAACACCGCGUGAGUGAAGAAGGGUUUCGGCUCGUAAAGCUCUGUUGUUAAAGAAGAACACGUAUGAGAGUAACUGUUCAUACGUUGACGGUAUUUAACCAGAAAGUCACGGCUAACUACGUGCCAGCAGCCGCGGUAAUACGUAGGUGGCAAGCGUUAUCCGGAUUUAUUGGGCGUAAAGAGAGUGCAGGCGGUUUUCUAAGUCUGAUGUGAAAGCCUUCGGCUUAACCGGAGAAGUGCAUCGGAAACUGGAUAACUUGAGUGCAGAAGAGGGUAGUGGAACUCCAUGUGUAGCGGUGGAAUGCGUAGAUAUAUGGAAGAACACCAGUGGCGAAGGCGGCUACCUGGUCUGCAACUGACGCUGAGACUCGAAAGCAUGGGUAGCGAACAGGAUUAGAUACCCUGGUAGUCCAUGCCGUAAACGAUGAGUGCUAGGUGUUGGAGGGUUUCCGCCCUUCAGUGCCGGAGCUAACGCAUUAAGCACUCCGCCUGGGGAGUACGACCGCAAGGUUGAAACUCAAAGGAAUUGACGGGGGCCCGCACAAGCGGUGGAGCAUGUGGUUUAAUUCGAAGCUAUGCGAAGAACCUUACCAGGUCUUGACAUCUUGCGCCAACCCUAGAGAUAGGGCGUUUCCUUCGGGAACGCAAUGACAGGUGGUGCAUGGUCGUCGUCAGCUCGUGUCGUGAGAUGUUGGGUUAAGUCCCGCAACGAGCGCAACCCUUGUUACUAGUUGCCAGCAUUAAGUUGGGCACUCUAGUGAGACUGCCGGUGACAAACCGGAGGAAGGUGGGGACGACGUCAGAUCAUCAUGCCCCUUAUGACCUGGGCUACACACGUGCUACAAUGGACGGUACAACGAGUCGCGAACUCGCGAGGGCAAGCAAAUCUCUUAAAACCGUUCUCAGUUCGGACUGCAGGCUGCAACUCGCCUGCACGAAGUCGGAAUCGCUAGUAAUCGCGGAUCAGCAUGCCGCGGUGAAUACGUUCCCGGGCCUUGUACACACCGCCCGUCACACCAUGAGAGUUUGUAACACCCAAAGUCGGUGGGGUAACCUUUUAGGAGCCAGCCGCCUAAGGUGGGACGGAUGAUUAGGGUG
rnacentral:rRNA from 2 species